rnacentral:misc_RNA from 1 species
GCCUUUUCUGGCUUUAGGAUGAUUGCUAAAGUCCUUCCUAUAUGCAGGUGCUUUAAGCUUCUAUCCAGAUUCAACCAUUGUCCUGCAUUGGAGGAUAUUAUUUUUCCAUGGCAGAGGUUGCAACUUACUCAAAGCCUCAUGAAAUUGGGACAGAAGACAAUCAACAUAUGAUAUGCAGAGGAAAGGAGAUAAGAUCUGUGUACACCGAGCAGUUUGAUUCUCA